rnacentral:rRNA from 1 species
UACGUAGGGGGCUAGCGUUGUCCGGAAUCAUUGGGCGUAAAGAGCGUGUAGGCGGUCCGGUAAGUCCGCUGUGAAAGUCGGGGGCUCAACCCUCGAAUGCCGGUGGAUACUGUCGGGCUAGAGUGCGGAAGAGGCGAGUGGAAUUCCUGGUGUAGCGGUGAAAUGCGUUGAUAUCAGGAGGAACACCCAUGGCGAAGGCAGCUAACUGGGCAUUGUCUGACGCUGAGGCGCG